rnacentral:rRNA from 1 species
AACGAACGCUGGCGGCGCGUCUUAAGCAUGCAAGUCGAACGGCAAGAAAGAAGCUUGCUUCUUUCCUAGAGUGGCGGACUGGUGAGUAACGCGUGGGUAAUCUGCCUUUAAGAUGGGGAUAGCCGCUAGAAAUAGCGGAUAAUACCGAAUACACUUCAAGCUUCAAAAGGAGCAUGAAGGAAAGGAAGCUAAGGCUUCGCUUAAAGAUGAGCCUGCGUCCCAUUAGCUAGUUGGUAAGGUAACGGCCUACCAAGGCGACGAUGGGUAUCCGGCCUGAGAGGGUGAUCGGACACAUUGGGACUGAGAUACGGCCCAAACUCCUACGGGAGGCAGCAGCUAAGAAUAUUCCGCAAUGGACGGAAGUCUGACGGAGCGACGCCGCGUGGAUGAAGAAGGCUGAAAAGUUGUAAAAUCCUUUUGUUGAUGAAGAAUAAGGGGAAGAGGGAAUGCUUCUCUGAUGACGGUAAUCGGCGAAUAAGCCCCGGCUAAUUACGUGCCAGCAGCCGCGGUAACACGUAAGGGGCGAGCGUUGUUCGGAAUUAUUGGGCGUAAAGGGCAUGUAGGCGGUUGUAUAAGCCUGAUGUGAAAUCCUGAGGCUUAACCUCAGAAUAGCAUUGGGUACUGUAUAGCUUGAAUUACGGAAGGGAAACUGGAAUUCCAAGUGUAGGGGUGGAAUCUGUAGAUAUUUGGAAGAACACCGGUGGCGAAGGCGGGUUUCUGGCCGAUAAUUGACGCUGAGAUGCGAAAGUGUGGGGAUCGAACAGG